rnacentral:rRNA from 1 species
AGUGAACGCUGGCGGUAGGCCUAACACAUGCAAGUCGAACGGCAGCACAGUAAGAGCUUGCUCUUACGGGUGGCGAGUGGCGGACGGGUGAGGAAUACAUCGGAAUCUACUUUUUCGUGGGGGAUAACGUAGGGAAACUUACGCUAGUACCGCAUACGACCUACGGGUGAAAGCAGGGGAUCUUCGGACCUUGCGCGAUUGAAUGAGCCGAUGUCGGAUUAGCUAGUUGGCGGGGUAAAGGCCCACCAAGGCGACGAUCCGUAGCUGGUCUGAGAGGAUGAUCAGCCACACUGGAACUGAGACACGGUCCAGACUCCUACGGGAGGCAGCAGCGGGGAAUAUUGGACAAUGGGCGCAAGCCUGAUCCAGCCAUACCGCGUGGGUGAAGAAGGCCUUCGGGUUGUAAAGCCCUUUUGUUGGGAAAGAAAAGCAGCAGGUUAAUACCCCGCUGUUCUGACGGUACCCAAAGAAUAAGCACCGGCUAACUUCGUG